rnacentral:rRNA from 1 species
CCCUUAGAUGUUCUGGGCCGCACGCGUGCUACACUGAGUGGAUCAGCGGGUCAUGUUGCGCGAAAGUGUUUCCUAAUCUUGAAAUCCGCUCGUGAUGGGGAUUGACGGUUGCAAUUUUCCGUCAUGAACGAGGAAUACCUUGUAAGCGCGGGUCAUCAUCCCGCGCUGAAUACGUCCCUGCCCUUUGUACACACCGCCCGUCGCUCCUACCGAUUGAGUGGUCCGGUGAGGCUUUGGGAUCUGAGCGGAAAGAGCGUUUCGCUGUUUCUGCUCGGAAAACUCAGUCGAACCUUAUCAUUUAGAGGAAGGAGAAGUCGUAACA